GUAGUCCACGCCGUAAACGAUGAUUACUAGGUGUGGGGGGAUUGACCCCUUCCGUGCCGCAGUUAACACAAUAAGUAAUCCACCUGGGGAGUACGGCCGCAAGGCUGAAACUCAAAGGAAUUGACGGGGGCCCGCACAAGCAGUGGAGUAUGUGGUUUAAUUCGAAGCAACGCGAAAAACCUUACCAGGUCUUGACAUCCUAGGAAUCCUUAAGAGAUUAGGGAGUGCCUUCGGGAACCUAGAGACAGGUGGUGCAUGGUUGUCGUCAGCUCGUGUCGUGAGAUGUUGGGUUAAGUCCCGCAACGAGCGCAACCCUUACCAUUAGUUGCUACGCAAGAGCACUCUAAUGGGACUGCCGUUGACAAAACGGA
rnacentral:rRNA from 1 species